CGUGCCAGCAGCCGCGGUAAGGAGGGUGCGAGCGUUAAUCGGAAUUACUGGGCGUAAAGCGCAGCAGGUGGUUCAUUAAGUCAGAUGUGAAAGCCCGGGGCUCAACCUCGGAACUGCAUUUGAAACUGGUGAACUAGUUGUUCAGUAGAGGGGGGUAGAAUUUCGAGUGUAGCGGGNAAAGUGCCUUAAUNUGAAGGAAUACCAGUGGCGAAGGCGGCCCCCUGGACAGAAACUGACACUCAGGAGCGAAAAGGGG
rnacentral:rRNA from 1 species